UACAAUUGUUUGCAUUAUGAAUGAUGUUGUUUAGUGUGGGGACAGUAUUAACGACCUUUUAACAUUAUGUAAAAAGCCUUUUUCUAGAAGGUAAAAGCUAAAGAAUUGUCUGGGGCUUAUGCAGCCUUCCUGAGAAUUGAUUAUGUGAAGUAUCCCCUGAGGGGUAAGGAAUGUGAGAAGGUAGGUGGCUUUUCUGAGGGCCCCUUACAGUUUUAACAUAGCUUAAUGUUUACCCUCUAGGAUCACAGAGCUUGGAAUUCAGUAGGUAGUGCCAGGUUUGGUGGCUUAUGCCUGUAAUCCCAGCACUUUGGGAGGCUGAGGCAGGAAGAUUGCCUGAGGCCAGGAGUUCAAGACCAGCCUGGGCAACAUAGCGAGACCCCAUAAUAAAGCAAAUUAUUCAUUUUAAGUACAAGAAAUAUUAAUUCCCAAAAUAUUUUCUAAAGUUUAAAAAAUAAGGUAUAAAAGAAUAUUAAAAGAUUGGUGUCAUUAUACUUUUUAACUUCAUGCACCAAGUGUUGUUUGCUUCUUCCCCUCAGAACUCUGGAGACUUUGCUUGACUCUGUAUCACUAAUUUCUCUAGUGAUAUGUGCUCUUCAUCUGCAUUCCUUCUUCAUUUUUGAAGUAGCUGUACCUCAGCUUUGAAAAUUGCUAAUGAUUAAUAUUUAUCU
rnacentral:lncRNA from 1 species